rnacentral:rRNA from 1 species
GCUCAAAUUUGAAAUCUGGAGCCUUUGGCUUCCGAGUUGUAAUUUGCAGAGGGAGCCUCGGAGGGCGAGACGGUCCAAGUGCCUUGGAACAGGAUACCGCAGAGGGUGAGAGUCCCGUAUCCGGCCGAUCUUGCGCUCCGUGUGAGGCCCCUUCGACGAGUCGAGUUGUUUGGGAAUGCAGCUCCAAGCGGGUGGUAAAUUCCAUCUAAAGCUAAAUACUGGCCAGAGACCGAUAGCGAACAAGUAGAGUGAUCGAAAGAUGAAAAGCACUUUGAAAAGAGAGUCAAACAGUACGUGAAAUUGUUGAAAGGGAAGCGCAUGGGGGCAGACUUGGACGCGGGGUUCAGCGUUUCGAUUUUGGAGCGUGUACUUCCCCGCGUGCAGGCCAGCAUCGGUUCCGGGGGCCGGACAAAGACGUUGGGAAUGUGGCUCCCCUCGGGGAGUGUUAUAGCCCGGCGUGCAAUGCGGCCACCUGGGACCGAGGACCGCGCCUUGUGCAAGGAUGCUGGCGUAAUGGCCUCAUGCGGCCCGUCUUGAAACACGGACCAAGGAGUCUAACAUCUAUGCGAGUGUUUGGGUGGCAAGGCCCGGACGCGCAAUGAAAAGUGAACGGAGGUGGGAGUCUGUCAAAAGAACGCACCAUCGACCGAUCCGGACGUCUUCUGAAGGAUUUGAGUAAGAGCAUAGCUGUUGGGACCCGAAAGAUGGUGAACUAUGCGUGAAUAGGGUGAAGCCAGAGGAAACUCUGGUGGAGGCUCGCAGCGGUUCUGACGUGCAAAUCGAUCGUCAAAUUUGGGUGGCAAGGCCCGGACGCGCAAUGAAAAGUGAACGGAGGUGGGAGUCUGUCAAAAGAACGCACCAUCGACCGAUCCGGACGUCUUCUGAAGGAUUUGAGUAAGAGCAUAGCUGUUGGGACCCGAAAGAUGGUGAACUAUGCGUGAAUAGGGUGAAGCCAGAGGAAACUCUGGUGGAGGCUCGCAGCGGUUCUGACGUGCAAAUCGAUCGUCAAAUUUGCGUAUAGGGGCGAAAGACUAAUCGAACCAUCUAGUAGCUGGUUCCUGCCGAAGUUUCCCUCAGGAUAGCAGUAACGCAUGGCAGUUUUAUGAGGUAAAGCGAACGAUUAGGGAGCUAGGGGUUGAAACAACCUUUAUCCAUUCUCGAACUUUAAAUAUGUAAGAAGUCCUUGUUGCUUUGUUGAACGUGGACACUCGAAUGCGGCGUUACUAGUGGGCCAUUUUUGGUAAGCAGAACUGGCGAUGCGGGAUGAACCGAACGUGGGGUUAAGGUGCCGGAAUGCACGCUCAUCAGACACCACAAAAGGUGUUGGUUCAUCCAGACAGCAGGACGGUGGCCAUGGAAGUCGGAAUCCGCUAAGGAGUGUGUAACAACUCACCUGCCGAAUGAACCAGCCCUGAAAAUGGAUGGCGCUCAAGCGUGCUACCCAUACCCCACCGUCUGCGUUUUUUGUUAGACGCAGACGAG